CAGUCGCCGCGGUAAUACAGAGGAUGCAAGCGUUAUCCGGAAUGAUUGGGCGUAAAGCGUGCGUAGGUGGUGGUUUAAGUCCGUUGUGAAAGCCCUGGGCUCAACCUGGGAAUUGCAGUGGAUACUGGGUCACUAGAGUGUGGUAGAGGAUAGUGGAAUUUCCGGUGUAGCAGUGAAAUGCGUAGAGAUCGGAAGGAACAUCUGUGGCGAAGGCGACUAUCUGGGCCAACACUGACACUGAGGCACGAAAGCGUGGGGAGCAAACAGGAUUAGAUACCCGCGUAGUCCCUGUCUCUUAUAC
rnacentral:rRNA from 1 species